rnacentral:rRNA from 1 species
UGCCCCGAUGACCGGGACAACCCGAGGAAACUCGGGCUAAUACCGGAUGUGGUGCCUGGACAUAAGUCCGGUCACUAAAGGUAGCUUCGGCUUCCGCAUUGGGAGGGGCCCGCGGCCCAUUAGCUUGUUGGUGGGGUCAAGGCCUACCAAGGCAACGAUGGGUAGCUGGUCUGAGAGGACGAUCACCCACACUGGGACUGAGACACGGCCCAGACUCCUACGGGAGGCAGCAGUGGGGAAUCUUG